AUGGCAAAAAAGCCUGGCUGGUCUCAGUAUAGCUUCUAUACGGGCGAAACUGCGAAGGCUCAUUAAAAAGUUCUAGUUUAUUCGGGGUCAGCAAUUACAUGGGAUAACCGCGGUAAUUCCUAGAGCUAAUACAUCGCGCCCAAACCCGACUUUCGUGGAAGGGUCGCGUUUAUAGAUACAGAACCAACCCAGGCUCCGCUCGGCCUUGAGGUGAUUCAUAAUAACCGAACGAAUCGCACGGCUAUGCCGGCGAUAGACCAUUCAAGUUUCUGACCUAUCAGCUAUCGUCGGUAGGGUAUCGGCCUACCGUGGCAAUGACGGGUAACGGAGAAUUAGGGUUCGAUUCCGGAGAGGGAGCCUGAGAAACGGCUACCACAUCUAAGGAAGGCAGCAGGCGCGCAAAUUACCCAAUCCUGACGCAGGGAGGUAGUGACAAGAAAUAACAAUACAGGGCAUACAUGUCUUUGUAAUUGGAAUGAGUAAACUUUAAAUCACUUUAC
rnacentral:rRNA from 1 species